rnacentral:rRNA from 1 species
ACGCGAUAAGUGAUCCNCCUGGGGAGUACGCACGCAAGUGUGAAACUCAAAGGAAUUGACGGGGNACCCGCACANNCGGUNGAGCAUGUNGUUUAAUNCGANNGCAACGCGAGAAACNNUACCAGCGUUUGACAUCCUAAGAAGUUUCCAGAGAUGGAUUCGUGCCGGCUUGCCGGAACUUAGUGACAGGUGGUGCAUGGCUGUNNNCNGCUCGUGUCGUGAGAUGUUGGGUUAAGUCCCGCAACGAGCGCAACCCCUAUUGUAUGUUGCUACCAUUAAGUUGAGCACUCNUGCGAUACUGCCUGCGAUGAGCAGGAGGAAGGUGGGGAUGACGUCAAGUCAUCAUGCCCCUUAUACGCUGGGCUACACACGUGCUACAAUGGGCAGUNCAGAGAGUUGCCAACCCGCGAGGGUGAGCUAAUCUCUUAAAGCUGUUCUUAGUUCGGAUUGUACUCUGCAACUCGAGUACAUGAAGUUGGAAUCGCUAGUAAUCGCAAAUCAGCAUGUUGCGGUGAAUACGUUCUCGGGUCUUGUACACACCGCCCGUCACACCACGAGAGUUGGUUGCACCUGAAGUAGCAGGCCUAACCGUAAGGAGGGAUGUUCCUAAGGUGUGAUUAGCGAUUNGGGNG